GACGAACGCUGGCGGCGUGCUUAACACAUGCAAGUCGAACGGAAAGGCCCUGCUUUUGUGGGGUGCUCGAUUGGCGAACGGGUGAGUAACACGUGAGUAACCUGCCCUUGACUUUGGGAUAACUUCAGGAAACUGGGGCGAAUACCGGAUAGGAGCUCCUGCUGCAUGGUGGGGGUUGGAAAGUUUCGGCGGUUGGGGAUGGACUCGCGGCUUAUCAGCUUGUUGGUGGGGUAGUGGCUUACCAAGGCUUUGACGGGUAGCCGGCCUGAGAGGGUGACCGGCGACAUUGGGACUGAGAUACGGCCCAGACUCCUACGGGAGGCAGCAGUGGGGAAUAUUGCACAAUGGGCGGAAGCCUGAUGCAGCAACGCCGCGUGCGGGAUGACGGCCUUCGGGUUGUAAACCGCUUUCGCCUGUGCCGAAGCGUGAGUGACGGUAAUGGGUAAAGAAGCACCGGCUAACUACGUG
rnacentral:rRNA from 1 species